rnacentral:rRNA from 1 species
CGCGUAGGCGGAAUUUUAAGUCUGAUGUGAAAUCCCCGGGCUUAACCUGGGAACUGCAUUGGAUACUGGGAUUCUAGAGUAUGGUAGAGGGUGGCGGAAUUUCUGGUGUAGCGGUGAAAUGCGUAGAUAUCAGAAAGAACACCAAUGGCGAAGGCAGCCACCUGGGCCAAUACUGACGCUGAGGUACGAAAGCGUGGGGAGCAAACA